rnacentral:rRNA from 1 species
GACGAACGCUGGCGGCGUGCUUAACACAUGCAAGUCGAACGGAAAGGCCCUGCUUUUGUGGGGUGCUCGAGUGGCGAACGGGUGAGUAACACGUGAGUAACCUGCCCUUGACUUUGGGAUAACUUCAGGAAACUGGGGCUAAUACCGGAUAGGAGCUCCUGCUGCAUGGUGGGGGUUGGAAAGUUUCGGCGGUUGGGGAUGGACUCGCGGCUUAUCAGCUUGUUGGUGGGGUAGUGGCUUACCAAGGCUUUGACGGGUAGCCGGCCUGAGAGGGUGACCGGCCACAUUGUGACUGGGAUACGGCCCAGACUCCUACGGGAGGCAGCAGUGGGGAAUAUUGCACAAUGGGCGGAAGCCUGAUGCAGCAACGCCGCGUGCGGGAUGACGGCCUUCGGGUUGUAAACCGCUUUCGCCUGUGACGAAGCGUGAGUGACGGUAAUGGGUAAAGAAGCACCGGCUAACUACGUGCCAGCCGCCGCCGUAA